rnacentral:rRNA from 1 species
UACGAAGGGGGCUAGCGUUGCUCGGAUUGACUGGGCGUAAAGGGCUCGUAGGCGGCCAACUAAGUCAGACGUGAAAUCCCUCGGCUUAACCGGGGAACUGCGUCUGAUACUGGAUGGCUUGAGUUUGGGAGAGGGAUGUGGAAUUCCAGGUGUAGCGGUGAAAUGCGUAGAUAUCUGGAGGAACACCGGUGGCGAAGGCGGCAUCCUGGACCAACACUGACGCUGAGUGAGCGAAAGCCAGGGGAGCAAACGGG